UGCAGUUCAGGUUCUGCAUGCUCUGC
rnacentral:piRNA from 1 species